rnacentral:lncRNA from 1 species
AAGAAGUGCAAGGAUACAAUUACAAGUGGACUUAAAAAGAAAAAGGAAACAAGGCGGUCCAAUUGGAAAAGAGGAGCAGAGAGUUAAGUGUGCAAGUUGCAGAGACACCACCGUUUUGCUUUCUUAUUAAGACUAUGUUUGGAUUGAUGGUACAUAACGGAAUGGAGCGGAAUGGAACAUAAUGGAAUGGAAUGGAGCGGAACGGAAUGGAACACAAAUUCCAUUCCAUUGUUUGGAUAUUCAAUGAUGGAAUUAAACAAAAUUACCACUCCGUUGUUUGGGAAGUGAACGGAAUAGAAUAAAAUAUAACAUUUUUAUUCCAAUUUUACCCUUAUUGUAAAACAAAGUUAAUCUAGCAUAGCAGCUAAUAUAUUUUCAGUUUCCAGAUCCAUCUAAUAAUAUUAGCCAAAAACAAAGUUAAAAACACUAGAAUUCUAGCAUUAUACGAACUGAUUCAAAGCUAUANN